UACGGGGGGGGCAAGCGUUGUUCGGAAUUACUGGGCGUAAAGGGCGCGUAGGCGGCCUGUUAAGUCGAACGUGAAAUCCCCGGGCUCAACCCGGGAACUGCGUCCGAUACUGUCAGGCUUGAAUCCGGGAGAGGGAUGUGGAAUUCCAGGUGUAGCGGUGAAAUGCGUAGAUAUCUGGAGGAACACCGGUGGCGAAGGCGGCAUCCUGGACCGGUAUUGACGCUGAGGCGCGAAAGCCAGGGGAGCAAACGGG
rnacentral:rRNA from 1 species